rnacentral:rRNA from 1 species
UGUGAAAGCUCCCGGCUCAACUGGGAGAGGUCGUUCAAAACUAUCAGACUAGAGAAUAGGAGAGGGAGGUGGAAUUCCGGGUGUAGUGGUGAAAUGCGUAGAUAUCCGGAGGAACACCAGUGGCGAAAGCGGCCUCCUGGCCCAUUUCUGACGCUCAGACGCGAAAGCUAGGGUAGCAAACGGGAUUAGAGACCCCGGUAGUCCUAGCCGUAAACGAUGUAGACUUGGCGUCGGAGGGUUUAAAUCCUUCUGUGCCGCAGCAAACGCGAUAAGUCUACCGCCUGGGGACUACGGCCGCAAGGUUAAAACUCAAAGGAAUUGACGGGGGCCCGCACAAGCAGCGGAGCGUGUGGUUUAAUUCGAUGUUACACGAAGAACCUUACCAGGGUUUGACAUGCAAGUGGUAGGAAGCCGAAAGGUGACCGACCCUUCGGGGAGCUUGCACAGGUGCUGCAUGGCUGUCGUCAGCUCGUGUCGUGAGAUGUUCGGUUAAGUCCGCUAACGAGCGCAACCCUCGCUGUGUGUUAUAUGUGUCACACGGGACUGCCGGUCUUAAGCCGGAGGAAGGUGGGGAUGACGUCAAGUCAGCAUGGCCUUUAUAUCCUGGGCUACACACACGCUACAAUGGCCAACACAAUAGGUCGCUAAGCCGCGAGGUGGAGCCAAUCCAUAAAGCUGGUCUCAGUUCAGAUUGCAGGCUGCAACCCGCCUGCAUGAAGAUGGAGUUGCUAGUAACCGCAGGUCAGCUAUACUGCGGUGAAUACGUUCCCGGGCCUUGUACACACCGCCCGUCACGUCAUGGGAGCUGGCAACACCUGAAGCCGGUAUCCUAACCCGCAAGGGAGGGAGCUGUCAAAGGUGGGGUCGGUGACUGGGACUAAGUCGUAACAAGGUAGGUGUACCGGAAGGUGCGCCUG